UACGUAGGGUGCGAGCGUUAAUCGGAAUUACUGGGCGUAAAGCGUGCGCAGGCGGUUUUCCAAGACAGAUGUGAAAUCCCCGGGCUCAACCUGGGAAUGGCGAUGAAGACUGCAAGGCUAGAAUCUGGCAGAGGGGGGUAGAAUUCCACGUGUAGCAGUGAAAUGCGUAGAGAUGUGGAGGAACACCGAUGGCGAAGGCAGCCCCCUGGGUCAAGAUUGACGCUCAUGCACGAAAGCGUGGGGAGCAAACAGG
rnacentral:rRNA from 1 species